CGCUUACCACUUUGUGAUUCAUGACUGGGGUGAAGUCGUAACAAGGUAACCGUAGGGGAACCUGCGGUUGGAUCACCUCCUUACCU
rnacentral:rRNA from 10 species